rnacentral:rRNA from 1 species
UACGUAGGGGGCAAGCGUUGUCCGGAAUCAUUGGGCGUAAAGCGCGUGUAGGCGGCUCGGUAAGUCUGCUGUGAAAGUCCAGGGCUCAACCCUGGGAUGCCGGUGGAUACUGUCGAGCUCGAGUCCGGAAGAGGCGAAUGGAAUUCCUGGUGUAGCGGUGAAAUGCGCAGAUAUCAGGAAGAACACCCGUGGCGAAGGCGGUUCUCUGGGACGGUACUGACGCUGAGACGCGAAAGCGUGGGGAGCGAACAGG